rnacentral:miRNA from 1 species
GAGUAUAAUUAAUCAUGGAUAUAUAAUUUAAAAAUGAUUAAAUAUAGACAUGUUUUAAUUAGGAAAU